CGCAGCCGGGGCCGCGGCGGGGCGGGCGGUACCUGGGCUCGGGCAGGGUGAUCUUCUUGCUGGCCCUGGCCGCCGGGGUGCUCUUGCUCUUCUCCAUCGCCAUCAGAAGGGGAACACCAGAGCCAACACCGAGCACAUGGGGCGAGGAGUGUGAUGGCUGCCUGCAAACAUCAGUACCCAGUCAAAUGCGUAUCUUUAGAAUUAAUUUCCUCAUAGUUUAUUAAAACAUAUUCAUAAGAAAAACAGGAUGCAAACAAA